rnacentral:rRNA from 1 species
AUGAACGCUGGCGGCAUGCCUAACACAUGCAAGUCGAACGAGAUCUUCGGAUCUAGUGGCGCACGGGUGAGUAACGCGUGGGAACCUACCUUUUAGUACGGGACAACGUUUGGAAACGAACGCUAAUACCGUAUACGCCCUCCGGGGGAAAGGUCAGCCGCUAAAAGAGGGGCCCGCGUCUGAUUAGCUUGUUGGUAAGGUAAUGGCUCACCAAGGCUUUGACGGAUAGCUGGUCUGAGAGGAUGAUCAGCCUCACUGGAACUGAGACACGGUCCAGACACCUACGGGUGGCAGCAGUCGAGAAUCAUUCACAAUGGGCGCAAGCCUGAUGGUGCGACGCCGCGUGGGGGAAGAAGGGCUUCGGUUCGUAAACCCCUGUCAUCUGUGAGUAAGACUCCCAAUAAAAGCUUGGGAGGUUGAUAUUAGCAGAAGAGGAAGGGACGGCUAACUCUGUGCCAGCAGCCGCGGUAAUACAGAGGUCCCAAGCGUUGUUCGGAUUUACUGGGCGUAAAGGGUGCGUAGGCGGCUAGAAAAGUUUGAUGUGAAAUCUCCGGGCUUAACCCGGAAACUGCAUUGAAAACUAUCUGGCUAGAGGAUCGGAGAGGAGAUUGGAAUUCUCGGUGUAGCAGUGAAAUGCGUAGAUAUCGAGAGGAACACCAGUUGCGAAGGCGGAUCUCUGGACGGUUUCUGACGCUGAGGCACGAAAGCUGGGGUAGCGAAGAGGAUUAGAUACCCUCGUAGUCCCAGCCGUAAACGGUGCACACUUGCUGUGGGCGGAUUCGACCCCGUCCGUGGCGAAGCUAACGCGAUAAGUGUGCCGCCUGGGGAGUACGGUCGCAAGAUUAAAACUCAAAGAAAUUGACGGGGGCCUGCACAAGCGGUGGAGUAUGUGGCUUAAUUCGAUGCAACGCGAAGAACCUUACCUGGCCUUGACAUGUAGUGGCCCGGGUGCGAAAUCACCCUUUUCUUCGGAACUGCUACACAGGUGCUGCAUGGCUGUCGUCAGCUCGUGUCGUGAGAUGUUGGGUUAAGUCCCGCAACGAGCGCAACCCCCGUGUUCUGUUGCCACCCGGAUGUAAAUCCGGAGCACUCUGGACAGACUGCCUGGUUUCAACUAGGAGGAAGGUGGGGAUGACGUCAAGUCAGUAUGGCCCUUACGGCCAGGGCUGCACACGUACUACAAUGCCUGAUAUAAUGGGAAGCAAUACCGCGAGGUGGAGCAAAUCCUCAAAAUCAGGCCCAGUUCAGAUUGUAGGCUGCAACUCGCCUACAUGAAGGAGGAAUCGCUAGUAAUGCCGUAUCAGCUACGACGGCGUGAAUACGUUCCCAGGCCUUGUACUCACCGCC